rnacentral:rRNA from 1 species
UCGAGAAUCUUUCACAAUGGGCGAAAGCCUGAUGGAGCGACGCCGCGUGGAGGUUAAGGUCUUCGGAUUGUAAACUCCUGUCAUGCGAGAACAAAGCCCGCAAGGGUCUGAUAGUAUCGCAAGAGGAAGAGACGGCUAACUCUGUGCCAGCAGCCGCGGUAAUACAGAGGUCUCAAGCGUUGUUCGGAAUUACUGGGCGUAAAGGGUGCGCAGGCCGCGCGGGCAGUCAAAUGUGUAAUCCAGGGGCUCAACCCCUGAACUGCGCUUGAUACUUCCGCGCUCGAGCUUUGGAGAGGAGUCUGGAAUUCUCGGUGUAGCAGUGAAAUGCGUGGAUAUCGAGAAGAACACUUAGGGCGUAGGCAAGACUCUGGACAAAUGCUGACGCUCAUGCACGAAGGCUAGGGUAGCGAACG